UAGGGAAUCUUCGGCAAUGGACGAAAGUCUGACCGAGCAACGCCGCGUGAGUGAAGAAGGUUUUCGGAUCGUAAAACUCUGUUGUUAGAGAAGAACAAGGACGUUAGUAACUGAACGUCCCCUGACGGUAUCUAACCAGAAAGCCACGGCUAACUACGUGCCAGCAGCCGCGGUAAUACGUAGGUGGCAAGCGUUGUCCGGAUUUAUUGGGCGUAAAGCGAGCGCAGGCGGUUUCUUAAGUCUGAUGUGAAAGCCCCCGGCUCAACCGGGGAGGGUCAUUGGAAACUGGGAGACUUGAGUGCAGAAGAGGAGAGUGGAAUUCCAUGUGUAGCGGUGAAAUGCGUAGAUAUAUGGAGGAACACCAGUGGCGAAGGCGGCUCUCUGGUCUGUAACUGACGCUGAGGCUCGAAAGCGUGGGGAGAAAACAGG
rnacentral:rRNA from 2 species